GAUGAACGCUGGCGGCGUGCCUAAUGCAUGCAAGUCGAGCGACGCAUGCCGGAGGGGUAACCCACUGGCAUGACGGAGCGGCGAACGGGUGAGUAACACGUGAGCAACCUGCCCCGCAGAUCGGGAUAGCCCAGGGAAACCUGGAUUAAUACCGGAUACCCUCGAUUGGUCGCAUGACCGGACGAGGAAAUGCCUUUGUGCUGUGGGAUGGGCUCGCGGCUUAUCAGCUAGUUGGUGGGGUAACGGCCUACCAAGGCAUCGACGAGUAGCUGGUCUGAGAGGACGAUCAGCCACACUGGGACUGAGACACGGCCCAGACUCCUACGGGAGGCAGCAGCAGGGAAUCUUGCGCAAUGGGCGAAAGCCUGACGCAGCAACGCCGCGUGGGGGAUGAAGGCCUCGGGUUGUAAACCCCUUUCAGGAGGGAAGAAAUUGACGGUACCUCCAGAAGAAGCACCGGCCAACUACG
rnacentral:rRNA from 1 species